CGCUGUGAUGCGGGCGGUUCGCCGCCCGUGACUCUGCGAGAAGUCCAUUGAACCUUAUCAUUUAGAGGAAGGAGAAGUCGUAACAAGGUUUCCGUAGGUGAACCUGCGGAAGGAUCAUUGUCGAGACCGAAAUAUAUCGAGCGAUUCGGAGAACCCGUGAACGAGCGGCGGCGCCUGCCGUCGCGUAACAGCCGUCCCCAGUCGGCGGCCUCGUCUCUCCAUCGGGGCCACGAUGAGGGGCGGAUGGAACUCAAACCGGCGCAGCUACGCGCCAAGGGAAUAUAAAGAGACACGAGCCCUGCAUCGGGUUCGGUGGCGUGGAGUGCUGUUGCACACCACACGGAUUGAAAUGACUCUCGGCAAUGGAUAUCUCGGCUCUCGCAUCGAUGAAGAGCGCAGCGAAAUGCGAUACGUGGUGCGAAUUGCAGAAUCCCGCGAACCAUCGAGAAUUUGAACGCAAGUUGCGCCCGAGGCCAGCUGGCCAAGGGCACGUCCGCCUGGGCGUCAAGCGUUGCGUCGCUCCGUGCCCCAUCCCACCACCCGAUGGGUGUGUCGGCGGGAGUCUCGGAUGUGCAGAGUGGCUCGCCGUGCCCGUCGGUGCGGCGGGUUGAAGAGCGGGUGAUCGUCUCAUUGGCCACGAACAAUAAGGGGUGGAUGAAAGUUGUGCCUGUGUUGUAUCGUGUCAGCCCGAGAAUAGAUUACACCUUGUUUAUGAACCCAGCCCGAGCGUCGAUCCACCGACGGCGGCUUGGAAUGCGACCCCAGGAUGGGCGAGGCCACCCGCUGAGUUUAAGCAUAUCAAUAAGCGGAGGAGAAGAAACUUACGAGGAUUCCCCU
rnacentral:rRNA from 1 species